UACGGAGGGGGCUAGCGUUGUUCGGAAUUACUGGGCGUAAAGCGCACGUAGGCGGCUUUGUACGUUAGAGGUGAAAGCCCGGGGCUCAACUCCGGAAUUGCCUUUAAGACUGCAUCGCUCGAAUUGUGGAGAGGUAAGUGGAAUUCCGAGUGUAGAGGUGAAAUUCGUAGAUAUUCGGAAGAACACCAGUGGCGAAGGCGACUUACUGGACACAUAUUGACGCUGAGGUGCGAAAGCGUGGGGAGCAAACAGG
rnacentral:rRNA from 1 species